AGGACGAACGCUGGCGGCGUGCUUAACACAUGCAAGUCGAGCGAGACCCCUUCUUCGGGAGGGUGUUCUAGCGGCGAACGGGUGAGUAACACGUGGGCAACCUGCCCUCAGCUCUGGGAUAACUCCAAGAAAUUGGGGCUAAUACCGGAUAUGACCGCUGACCGCAUGGUCUGGUGGUGGAAAGAUUUAUCGGCUGGGGAUGGGCCCGCGGCCUAUCAGCUUGUUGGUGGGGUAGUGGCCUACCAAGGCGACGACGGGUAGCCGGCCUGAGAGGGUGACCGGCCACACUGGGACUGAGACACGGCCCAGACUCCUACGGGAGGCAGCAGUGGGGGAAUAUUGCGCAAUGGGCGGAAGCCUGACGCAGCGACGCCGCGUGGGGGAUGACGGCCUUCGGGUUGUAACCUCUUCUAGCAGGGACGAAGCGCAAGUGACAGUACCUGCAGAAGAAGCACCGGCCAACUACGUGCCAGCAGCCGCGGU
rnacentral:rRNA from 1 species